AGAGUUCGAGGCCAGCCUGGUCUACAGAGUGAGUUCCAGGACAGCCAGGGCUACACAGAGAAACUCUGUCUCGGAAAAAAAGAAGAUAAACCCAAAAGGAUAGCCAGUCUCCGGCUGGACCCAGAGAUCUUGGUUGUUGGAAUAGACAUGGCAGGCUUUGCAUCUUAUCGUUUACAAAGAAUUAUAGUUUUGGGGCUGGAGAGAUGGCUCAGUGGUUAAGAGCACUGACUGCUCUUUCAAAGGUCCUGAGUUCAAUUCCCACCAACCACAUGGUGGCUCACAACCAUCUGUAAUGUGAUCGGGUGCCUUCUUCUGGUGUGUCUGAAGACAGCUGUAGUGUACUCAUAUACAUAAAAUAAAUAAAUCUUUAAAAAAUUACAGUUUUACCUUAUAUUUGCUGUAGGUUUUUGGUUCAGAACUGUGUUUGAGUAAGGCAGAAACUCAGUAAGAGAUGGCUUGCAGGAAGCUCAGGCAUGCUGGCUUGCCUGGUCCCCUGCUGUUUGGCAUCACACAGCACAGCCAGAUGCUCUGGCACAUGCCUGCCACCCAGCCACUGGAAAGGCUGAGGUCAGAGAAUCUCCUAAGCCACAAAGUCCCAAGCCAGCUUGGGCAAUGUGGUGAGACCCUGUGUUGCCUCUACCCCCAGAUAUACAUGAUUGUCUGACACCAUUUAUACUAUUUCACACUCUAAGACCCCUGGGUAGGUAAAGCUACUUGUUCUGAGCUAUAUGAUCAUCCCUUCCUUGUCCUUAAUUAUAAGGUAACCUGGACAGAUGUGGAUGAGGCCCCAGCAGAUAAUUGGGAUGCUGUUUUACACCUCCAGCUGCAAAGGAGUCUCUCUCCCAUGGUCCAGGUCCCUGUCUGCAAGUCGAGAUGUACUGACCUAUGUAUGACUGCCUUGGCCCUCAAGCCAGGAGGAACUUUCCAGUGCUAGAAAUAAAAGGUGCCGGUCACCCCUUCCUCCCUCCUAGAGAGUCACCCAUUGUCCUUCCUGACCCUGGUCUCUAAGGUGUGGUGUUGGGCUGUACCCUUAGCCUACAGUCUCUCUCCCGCAGGGGUAGCUGCUGCUGCUGCACUCUGUGGGGGCCCCUGGUUCCCAUGUUUAAGCCUGCAUAGUGCAGGGCAGCCUCAGAGGAGACCCCGCCCUGCCUCUGCCAAGGCGGACUUUUAAGCGUUUUUAUGAGCUGUUUUGAUACCUUUUCAUACAGUUUGCUACUCACCAUUUUGUAGGGUGCCUGCUGGGGUCCCCCCUCCCUGGGUCUUCACUUAGGCUCAGCGCCUUGGUUUGUCUAGAUCGUGGAUGCCCUGCUGUACAUGUGCACCUUGCAUGGUGUGACUUUGUCUUCCAUCCCACCCUUCUUCUAUGUGAACGAUCUAAAGCAGCCGGAGCGCUGAUGUCCCUGGAGGGCAGGUCCUGUGCUUCGGAGGGUUGGUUCUUCUGCCAGAGUUCCUGCCUCAGAGGAGUGCAGAGUGGGAGAGUUACCUGAAGCUGGUCUAUUUCCCUAACACAUGUGUGGCUGGGGUCCUAGUCUCUUCCUAUCUACCCAUCCAGUAAGGAGUGCCUAACUCCACAGCUAUGACCAUGGCAUCUUGUCCUUUCACUCUAUAACCUCUGACCUCCAGGUGGGUGGUAUCCCUGUGUGUUCAAUGUGACUAGAAUCGGUGGCCUCGGGAGGGGAGCUGAGUGCCUUAAACUGUCCCUCAGUUGUCUCAGUUAACAGCACUGAAUGAAUGGGGCUGGGAUGAGGGUUCAGUCAGUAACGUGCUCCCCUGGAAGGCAGGAAGUCCGUGGGUGCCAUCCCCAUAAACUGAGCAUGGUGAUCUCAGCACUUGGGAGGUGGAGGCAGGAGGAUUACAAGUUCAAGGUCUUCCUUGACUACACAGCAGGUUUGAGGCCAGCCCUGGCUACAGGAGAACCCUGUUUUGACUUAGUUGAUGAACUAAUGAUAAACUGAUAAGUGAAAGCAUCGGAUAAACAUAACAGUAUGCACCUGGGUUGACCCAGGAAGCGCUGGUCCUGAGGUUUGAUGUUAAAGCCAUCAACAGCUGGCCCCAGUCGAAAUCAGGGACGUUCUGGUGAGCUGAAAGCAUGUGGUGCCUUCUGGCUCCUGAUGUCACGGGAAUCUGUAACUGUAUAUGCUUUUUAAUGUGUAGCUUUUGUGUUUGUAAUUUUAAUUUUACGGCAUUCAGAGUUUUCCUGUCUCGCCUCCUUGGUUGACAGUUUGCAUGUUGCUUCUGUUUUGAAUUCCACUGGCACACAUUAAAAGAACUUGCCUGCC
rnacentral:lncRNA from 1 species